rnacentral:tRNA from 1 species
CUGGCGGCUCAGCAGUAAAGCACCUGCCUGCAAUGCAGGAGGUGCAGGUUCAAUCCCUGAGUCAGA